GAUGAACGCUAACGGCAGGCCUAACACAUGCAAGUCGAGGGGUAGUAUAGCAAUAUAUGAGACCGGCGCACGGGUGCGUAACGCGUAUGCAACCUACCUUUUACAGGGGAAUAGCCCAGAGAAAUUUGGAUUAAUGCCCCAUGGUAUAUUUGAGUGGCAUCACUUGAUUAUUAAAGUUCCAACGGUAAAAGAUGGGCAUG
rnacentral:rRNA from 1 species